UCUACGGGUGGCAGCAGUGAGGAAUAUUGGUCAAUGGGCGCGAGCCUGAACCAGCCAAGUAGCGUGAAGGAUGACUGCCCUACGGGUUGUAAACUUCUUUUAUAAAGGAAUAAAGUGAGGCCCGUGUGCCUUUUUGUAUGUACUUUAUGAAUAAGGAUCGGCUAACUCCGUGCCAGCAGCCGCGGUAAUACGGAGGAUCCGAGCUUUAUCCGGAUUUAUUGGGUUUAAAGGGAGCGUAGAUGGGUUGUUAAGUCAGUUGUGAAAGUUUGCGGCUCAACCGUAAAAUUGCAAUUGAUACUGGCAGUCGUGAGUACAGUUGAGGGAGGCGGAAUUCGUGGUGUAGCGGUGAAAGGCUUAGAUAUCACGAAGAACCCCGAUUGCGAAGGCAGCUUACUAAACUGUGACUGACAUUGAUGCUCGAAAGUGUGGGUAUCAAACAGGAUUAGAUACCCUUGUAGUC
rnacentral:rRNA from 1 species